rnacentral:rRNA from 1 species
CAGUCGCCGCGGUAAUACAGAGGAUGCAAGCGUUAUCCGGAAUGAUUGGGCGUAAAGGGCUCGCAGGCGGUUUCUUAAGUCUGAUGUGAAAGCCCCCGGCUCAACCGGGGAGGGUCAUUGGAAACUGGGAAACUUGAGUGCAGAAGAGGAGAGUGGAAUUCCACGUGUAGCGGUGAGAUGCGUAGAGAUGUGGAGGAACACCAGUGGCGAAGGCGACUCUCUGGUCUGUAACUGACGCUGAGGAGCGAAAGCGUGGGGAGCGAACAGGAUUAGAUACCCCCGUAGUCCCUGUCUCUUAUAA